rnacentral:rRNA from 1 species
GAUGAACGCUGGCGGCGUGCCUAAUACAUGCAAGUCGAGCGAACAGACGAGGAGCUUGCUCCUCUGACGUUAGCGGCGGACGGGUGAGUAACACGUGGAUAACCUACCUAUAAGACUGGGAUAACUUCGGGAAACCGGAGCUAAUACCGGAUAAUAUAUUUAACCGCAUGGUUCAAUAGUGAAAGACGGUUUUGCUGUCACUUAUAGAUGGAUCCGCGCCGCAUUAGCUAGUUGGUAAGGUAACGGCUUACCAAGGCAACGAUGCGUAGCCGACCUGAGAGGGUGAUCGGCCACACUGGAACUGAGACACGGUCCAGACUCCUACGGGAGGCAGCAGUAGGGAAUCUUCCGCAAUGGGCGAAAGCCUGACGGAGCAACGCAGCGUGAGUGAUGAAGGUCUUCGGAUCGUAAAACUCUGUUAUUAGGGAAGAACAAAUGUGUAAGUAACUAUGCACGUCUUGACGGUACCUAAUCAGAAAGCCACGGCUAACUACGUG